CCAGUGCCUGACUCAGUGCCUGAGUAAAUGUGCGUUGGAGGAAUGAACAGCCAGCAAAAGAGAGAGGACACUGGGCCUGGCAGCCAGAGCAGCUGGAAGAGAGGCCCCAAAACAAACAGAACCUCCGCCAGGAAAUCUAACAACACAAGGCCCCAUGGACGAUUUGCUUCCCAUGGACCAGACACAACUGGAGGCUAAAGGAUAAGGAUACUCACUGAGGAAGUCCAGGAAGAUCCUUCUGGAAGCAGUUGGAAGAUAAAUCGGGUAGGAUGUGGGGGGAUGCAGAAAAGAGAAUAGAAUUGGAGGCUAUUACUUAAAUUCAGGAGACAGAGUCUUGCUAUGUUUCCCAGGCUGGAGUGCAAUGGCCAUGAUCCCAUUACUAAUCAGCACAGGAGUUUUGACCUACUCUGUUUUGGACUUGGGCAGAGUCCUCUUUCUUAGGCAACUUGACGGUCCCCCCCAUCCUUGUGGACACCCGUGGGUACAGUGCAUUACUGCCCAGAAUUCCUGGACUUGAUCAAUUCCCCCACCUAACCCUCCUGAGUAGCUGGGACCACUGGCAUGUGUCACUGUGCCCAGCAAAUUGUAUUCUUUAAAAAUGGGUGAGUUGUAAUGAUAUG